UAAAGAGAAAAGGUAAACAAUGCAUGUGCUUUGCGUGGAAAGACACUAAAUAAAAAGAGACAAGCACUUGCAGUAAUAACAAUACAGGUAAGUAGUAGACUGGAGUGGAGACGACGGAAAAACAGGUAAUAAAAGAGAUACUACACUGGAACAAAGACGAGACAAAACAGCUACAGGGAAGACUAGAAGCAUCGGCCAGCAUAGCAAAACACAAUGCUUGUAAAGACAUUGCGUUGCAUACCGGCCGACCCCGUCGUCCCCCCUGGUCGUCGAAAUUGGCGUCAUCCAGAGUCGUCAGAGGUAGCUGCAAUUAGCACCUCGUCGUCGUUGUGGCUGUGGCUGCCCUCUUGGAGAACCAGUGGCACUGGUCCGGCCACCAGCUGGGAGCCAGGAGUAGACGGCACAUAUAUUACUGUGGCGACACGGGUCCGGCCGCCAAAGUGAAAUGGAUGACCAUAGGGCACUCUGAAUGCCAUGGCACUGGAUCCGGCCACCAGCUAAGGACGAUGGCGAUGGCAUAACUCGAACGGCACAGGUCCGGCCGCCCAAGUGCAAUGGAUGUUUGUGUGUGUGUGUGUAUUUCCAUUCCAGGUACACAUGGCACUCUGAAUGCCACGGCACCUGGUUCCAGCAACCAGAUGAGGGCAAUGGCGGAGAACGACACACCUACUCGAUCGGCACAGGUCCGGCCGCCCAAGUGUAAUGGGUGCUUGUGUGUGUGUGUGUCUGAAUGGCUGGCGACCAUAGGGCACUCUGAAUGCCAUGGCACUGGAUCCGGCCACCAGCUAAGGACGAUGGCGAUGGCAUAACUCGAACGGCACAGGUCCGGCC
rnacentral:misc_RNA from 1 species